CGGGGGACUGCCGGGCGAGGCACUGAGGCGACGAAGGGCUGUGAGGAGACGAAGGGCUGUGAGGUGGAAAAUGAGCCCGGGCAGUACAGUCUGUGAAUGAGAUUUAACAACUGAGGAUCCCAGCACACGGCAGGAGAAAGCUUCUUGGGACACCUACCUUCCUAUGGCCACACCCUGCAGGACUUUGUGACCUUGCGAUGAUGGAUGCAGAGAGUUGAUUUAGAGCAUUCUCUGAACCCAUUUCUGAACCCAAAACAAGGCCCCAGCUACAGGACGAGGUCCAUUCUACAGAACCUUAGCCUAACCCAAAAUAUUACCCACAUGAUGUUUGCUUAGGUCUGUGAGCUCAUCACAGGACUUUGCUGGCUGAAGUGGACAAGCUCCUCCACGCUGAACCUUUGAGAUCUAAGCCAUCUCCAAGCUGAGCACUGCGUUGCUGAGGUUGAUGCCUUGCUGUGUUGAGUUAGUAAGUCCUGCUGAGAGGCACCAAACACUGCUGCAGCAACAAACCUGAGUAAACCUCUUAUGGAUGUCAGUGACACUUUUGGGGUAAAAAUAUUCAAGGUUUAACCCAUGUUACAUUGUACAAAUGAUGCAAAUGCUUCUGUCAUGUUUUCCAUAGCAGUCAUAUAUUAUUUCAAGUAACAUAAUUUGGGAAAGAAGGAAUACAAAAUUUAUCUAUAUUUAUAAAUAUGAAGCAAAUUGAAUUCAUAUAGGAAUAUUUAUAACACAUAUUUGAUUUAUAGCAAGCAAAUUCUUUUUUAUAGGUAAUGCAUCCAAGUAGCUGUUUUAAAAGUCUGAUUUAAGAAAAAAUGCUCAGAAAGCUGCUGCCCUUAAUAAAACUGCAUUUAAUAUUUUUAAAUAUUGACAUUGAUAAAGCUAAUUUACAAUUUAAAGUUAAUUUACACAUUUUCUAGGCCCAUGACUUUUCCAAACAAGAUGUUAGGUACUUUUCAAACAGGGAAUGCCAACACUUUUAGCUGUUUAAGAAUAUAAAUUAGUUCUCUUUGGGCAAUCAUUACACACUUACUUAUAAUAUGAGGUAGAAAAAUAUAUUCUUUCUUGGAAAACAUUUAUGAAGAGUGAGGUGUAUGACCAGUGAGGAAUAAACUAUCAGACUUAAACAUAAUACUGAAAAAAUCUGUACUGUGUGUGAAUUAAGGAGUUAUGCUAAUGCAUACUAACAUAAAAUGAGUUUAGUCAAGCCUUCUUUUAAGCAGCUUGAAAAUACUUAUCACUAUAUGGAAAUAUGUGUAAUUUCCAUAUGCAAAUUAUUUUAUUAAAAAGGCUCAAGUCUCCCUUCUGUAAUUGGCCUUGGCCAUCAAGCAAUGUGCUAACAAUGAAUUUCAUCUCUUUUUAUAGCACAUCUGCUUGUAGUAGAUGACAGUCAAUUGGCAGAACUGAUAUCCCAAGCACUGGCACAAAAUCAACUUUUUUUUCCCCUUGAUUUCAUUCAUUUCCUGCCAACUGAAAAUCAAAUCUGCCUCCCAAAAAUGGUAUCAGUUCAUACUAGCCCUCAGAACAGAGUGGCAUUACUGUAGUUUAAGAAGAUGAAGGCAUUUUGAAGUGAACUAAUAGGAUUUGUUAGCAAAGGAAUGAACAGAUUACUUACUAAUGUUUCUGUGCACAAUCUGGGAAUAUUCUGCUCUUUAAAUUAGGAUAUAUCUGCUAAUACACAGCUCUCUAGGCAAUUUAAAAGCAAAACUUGCUUAAAGAAGACCACAUUUCGGGGGCAUGGUUAAGAGGUUGUUGCAUAUUCCUGCCUGAGAAAAUGUGAAAAUAAUCUGGUCCUGCAACAUUCUUGCUGAAAUGGCAACUUUUUCUUUGCACCAGCUAUUCUAAAAGUCAUAGAAGUCAUUUCUAAGUUUGACAAGACAGAGGGCAGGAAAAGUAACAAAGAAGCUGAGCUAGCCAAAUAAUAUGCCUGUUUACUCCCUUUUACAGAGAGUUCAGCAAUGAGCAACACGAGUUUUCUUAUUAAGGAGACUGGAUGCAAGGACAAGAGACAUCCAUGCUCCCUCAGAACUCCAAGCACAGUUAUUCUCCAUUCCCUGGGGCACUGAAGCAAAGUAUUUUUGUGCUGCCAUGACACAGGUACUUCAGAUAAGCACAGAUGAUAUAUACUGGCAUCCCCAUGAAGGGUUUCUGGAUAGCUCCGGCACUAUAUUAUAACCGAAGGACAUGUCUUUGUAGUAAUUCCCAUCUCCCACUGUAAAUCCUACCAGAAUAUUGUGUUUUGGAAGAAAUGUGAAAGUGUGGAACAAGUGUGAAAGUGUUGAUUAAUUAAACUUCUCCAAAAAAUGGAUGUGAAUUGUACUAAGUGCAUUUGAGACAAUUUGAGAAUAUUU